rnacentral:rRNA from 1 species
CCCCUUAGAGUUUGAUCAUGGCUCAGGAUGAACGCUAGCGGCAGGCCUAAUACAUGCAAGUCGAGGGGCAGCAGGGUAGCAAUAUCGCUGGCGACCGGCGCACGGGUGCGUAACACGUAUACAAUCUGCCUUUAACAGGGGGAUAGCCUUUCGAAAGAGAGAUUAAUACCCCAUAACACAUGAAAUAGCAUUAUUUUAUGUUAAAAGCUCCGGCGGUUAGAGAUGAGUAUGCGUCUGAUUAGCUAGUAGGUGAGGUAACGGCUCACCUAGGCGACGAUCAGUAGGGGAUCUGAGAGGAUUACCCCCCACACGGAUACUGAGACACGGAUCCGACUCCUACGGGAGGCAGCAGUAAGGAAUAUUGGACAAUGCCCGCAAGGGUGAUCCACCCAUGCCGCGUGCAGGAAGAAGGCCCUAUGGGUCGUAAACUGCUUUUACACCGGAAAAAACCUCCCCUCGUGAGGGGAGCUGAUAGUAUGGUGAGAAUAAGCAUCGGCUAACUUCGUGCCAGCAGCCGCGGUAAGACGAAGGAUGCAAGCGUUAUCCGGAUUCAUUGGGUUUAAAGGGAGCGUAGGUGGACUGAUAAGUCAGUGGUGAAAUCUUCGAGCUUAACUCGGAAAUUGCCAUUGAUACUGUUGGUCUUGAGUACAGUUGCUGUGGGCGGAAUAUGACAUGUAGUGGUGAAAUACAUAGAGAUGUCAUAGAACACCGAUUGCGAAGGCAGCUCACAAAGCUGUAACUGACACUGACGCUCGAAGGUGGCGGGGGAUCAAACAAGGAUUAGAUACCCCUAGUAGUCCGCACCGUAAACGAUGAUUACUCGCUGCUAGGGGGCUAUCUUUUAGUGUCUAGCGAAAGCGAUAGUCAUUCCAGCGUGGAGUAGUACGCCGGCACGAUGAAUCUCAAGGAAUUUGACGCGCUGACAGCGAAGAAAACCAGUGUUUUACUUUCGAUGCAAUAC